rnacentral:rRNA from 1 species
AUACGUAGGGGGCGAGCGUUGUCCGGAAUGACUGGGCGUAAAGGGCGUGUAGGCGGCCGAUUAAGUCUGGAGUGAAAGUCCUGCUUUCAAGGUGGGAAUUGCUUUGGAGACUGGUUGGCUUGAGUGCGGAAGAGGUAAGUGGAAUUCCCAGUGUAGCGGUGAAAUGCGUAGAGAUUGGGAGGAACACCAGUGGCGAAGGCGGCUGACUGGGCCGAAACUGACGCUGAGGCGCGAAAGCGUGGGGAGCGAACAGGAUUAGAUACCCUGGUAGUCCACGCGGUAAACGAGGAAUGCUAGGUGUAGGUGGUAUCGACCCCUCCUGUGCCGGAGUGAACACAAUAAGCAUUCCGCCUGGGGAGUACGGCCGCAAGGUUGAAACUCAAAUGAAUUGACGGGG